rnacentral:rRNA from 1 species
UACAGAGGUCUCAAGCGUUGUUCGGAUUCAUUGGGCGUAAAGGGUGCGUAGGCGGCGCGGUAAGUCGGGUGUGAAAUCUCGGAGCUUAACUCCGAAACUGCAUUCGAUACUGCCGUGCUUGAGGACUGGAGAGGAUACUGGAAUUUACGGUGUAGCAGUGAAAUGCGUAGAUAUCGUAAGGAAGACCAGUGGCGAAGGCGGGUCUCUGGACAGUUCCUGACGCUGAGGCACGAAGGCCAGGGGAGCAAACGGG